rnacentral:rRNA from 1 species
GACGAACGCUGGCGGCGUGCUUAACACAUGCAAGUCGAACGAUGAUGCCCAGCUUGCUGGGCGGAUUAGUGGCGAACGGGUGAGUAACACGUGAGUAACCUGCCCUUGACUUCGGGAUAACUCCGGGAAACCGGGGCUAAUACCGGAUAUGAGCCGUCCUCGCAUGGGGGUGGUUGGAAAGUUUUUCGGUCAGGGAUGGGCUCGCGGCCUAUCAGCUUGUUGGUGGGGUGAUGGCCUACCAAGGCGACGACGGGUAGCCGGCCUGAGAGGGCGACCGGCCACACUGGGACUGAGACACGGCCCAGACUCCUACGGGAGGCAGCAGUGGGGAAUAUUGCACAAUGGGCGAAAGCCUGAUGCAGCGACGCCGCGUGAGGGAUGAAGGCCUUCGGGUUGUAAACCUCUUUCAGCAGGGAAGAAGCGCAAGUGACGGUACCUGCAGAAGAAGCGCCGGCUAACUACGUGCCAGCAGCCGCGGUAAUACGUAGGGCGCAAGCGUUGUCCGGAAUUAUUGGGCGUAAAGAGCUCGUAGGCGGUUUGUCGCAUCUGGUGUGAAAACUCGAGGCUCAACCUCGAGCUUGCAUCGGGUACGGGCAGACUAGAGUGCGGUGGGGGAGACUGGAAUUCCUGGUGUAGCGGUGGAAUGCGCAGAUAUCAGGAGGAACACCGAUGGCGAAGGCAGGUCUCUGGGCCGCAACUGACGCUGAGGAGCGAAAGCAUGGGGAGCGAACAGG